UACGAAGGGGGCUAGCGUUGCUCGGAAUCACUGGGCGUAAAGCGCACGUAGGCGGCUUCUUAAGUCAGGGGUGAAAUCCUGGGGCUCAACCCCAGAACUGCCCUUGAUACUGAGGAGCUUGAGUCCGGGAGAGGUGAGUGGAACUCCGAGUGUAGAGGUGAAAUUCGUAGAUAUUCGGUAGAACACCAGUGGCGAAGGCGGCUCACUGGCCCGGUACUGACGCUGAGGUGCGAAAUAGUGGGGAGCAAACAGG
rnacentral:rRNA from 1 species